CGGAAGUUGAUACAUUUUAACCUGGAAUAUUUACCAAACACUAAGGAUACACAGGGACCGAGACGCUGAGCAAUGGGUAUGCAAUAAAAAGGUAAGGGUGGCUGCUGGAACGGUUGGGACCAUCAGGAGGAUGGCUAGGAAGAGAGAGUGACAGGACACCUCAUCAGAGCCCAAGAGUGCGUCACACAUCCCAAUUCCGUUGCCCGAUGAAUAUCGAAAGACCCUUAUCUUUGACAACGAGUCUGCAGCUCGCAUUCUGAUAUUUGCCUCAGAGAAUGGUCUUCGACUCAUAGACAAUGCCGACACCUGGUUCCUGAAUGGCACCCACUCGUCAAGUAUGACAAUUGAACAACUCCAUCGCAGUUCCAGCAGCCAGCUGCUCAUCCUUCGCGUUUCCUUAGGAGAGACCUUCCAGCUAUCGGACAGGAGCGAUGGCAGAAGUUCUAACAUUAGACGACGUUUAAUCGAACGAUUCGAAAGAGCUCUGCCUUACAUUACAUUUAUUUAUUGAUGUAACAUUAUUGAUGAAUAUUACAACUAUAAAUGAAAUUAAAUAUAUAAAUUGAAAAUUAUCAAUAACUCUUGCAUUGGAAAUUAAUAAUAAUAUAAUACUUGAAUUUGGGAAAUUAUUAAAAUAUGUUUAAUUAUAAAGAAUAUAAUUGUAAAAUUAAGUAAUAUAAUUUUGAACAAAAUAUUUCAUGAGAAUAUGUAAAAAUGUUCUAGAUCAGUAAUUUGAACGGUAAAAACAGAUAAAAUAUGUGAUAGCGGUAAGAAUAAUUGCAGUAGUGAAUUAUAAUCAGGUCAUACAAUCUCGAACGUCCGUCGAUCUGGCAAAACGUUCUUAUUGUAAGUGCAAUCUGAUUGCCUCUAGCAUUCUAGUCUGGGUUAGCUAUUUAUAACAUCGGUUGAAUGUAGUUAAUGUUGUCUACACGUUUCCUGCAUGAUUGAAUCAGUACAUUUAGAGAUUCAGCCAAUCAACAAUUAGCACGUGUGAAGAUUAAUACUUCUUACCAAUCAGAACAGCACACGUAACAAUCAAAUGUUUCGUUCUUUAUAUCUUUGCUAGUAUGAAUGGAGUAUCAUGACCACAGCCGGAUAGAAAUGGUCGUAAUUUCUUGCUAUCGCAGGCGGGGAUCGUUUUGGGGUCUUCGCUUUCAUUUUGAAAAACAUUUUGAAAACGCGAUGUUUAAGCAGAAAUAAAACUUUAAGAAAUCUGAAUUGGAAUUUGUCAACGUUUAUUGUCUACGUUUACGUUUAUCGUGUUUCUCGAGGAACUACGUUACAUUUAUUAAUAAAACUUCCGUUAUAAUCACAUGAUAAAAUCAAAACAAUAGCAUGGUGUAGGUCCAACUGGGCAGAUCCAAUUAUA